UACGUAGGUUGCGAGCGUUAAUCGGAAUUACUGGGCGUAAAGCGUGCGCAGGCGGUUUUGUAAGCCAGAUGUGAAAUCCCCGGGCUUAACCUGGGAAUGGCAUUUGGGACUGCAAGGCUUGAGUGCGGCAGAGGAGACUGGAAUUCCUGGUGUAGCAGUGAAAUGCGUAGAUAUCAGGAGGAACGCCGAUGGCGAAGGCAGCUCGCUGGGACGGUACUGACGCUGAGACGCGAAAGCGUGGGGAGCAAACAGG
rnacentral:rRNA from 1 species